GACGAACGCUGGCGGCGUGCCUAAUACAUGCAAGUAGAACGCUGAAGAGAGGAGCUUGCUCUUCUUGGAUGAGUUGCGAACGGGUGAGUAACGCGUAGGUAACCUGCCUUGUAGCGGGGGAUAAAUAUUGGAAACGAUAGCUAAUACCGCAUAACAAUGGAUGACACAUGUCAUUUAUUUGAAAGGGGCAAUUGCUCCACUACAAGAUGGACCUGCGUUGUAUUAGCUAGUAGGUGAGGUAAUGGCUCACCUAGGCGACGAUACAUAGCCGACCUGAGAGGGUGAUCGGCCACACUGGGACUGAGACACGGCCCAGACUCCUACGGGAGGCAGCAGUAGGGAAUCUUCGGCAAUGGGGGCAACCCUGACCGAGCAACGCCGCGUGAGUGAAGAAGGUUUUCGGAUCGUAAAGCUCUGUUGUAAGUCAAGAACGGGUGUGAGAGUGGAAAGUUCACACUGUGACGGUAGCUUACCAGAAAGGGACGGCUAACUACGUG
rnacentral:rRNA from 1 species